AGAAUUACUGUGGAGGUUCGUGCAGUUUCGGGACUCCGAAAGUUGGUGACGUAUUUGACACAAACUCUUUCCAUACCUGGAUAUUUCGGCCCAGCCACGAGUUGUGAGGCUCAUGAAGGACAUAGGGGAGUCCUAGGAAGGUUCUAGAGGUGCCCAAGAGCCCUUGGAUCAAAGGGGCAUCCAUCCCAUGGCCUAGAUUGCAUCUUCAACACUAUAUAUUGAUGGGAAACCCUAUUUUUGGAGGCCCCCAAGCAUUGUCACGAAAAUCCUCCUCCUUGGCAGCAGCCAAGGAGGGGGAAACACUCAUCUACACCAGCACCAACUCAAGGAAGAAGAAGGCUAAGGGGCGGCGCUCCCCCAUGAUGCCGGCGGCGGGGAAGGAGUCCCCCGCGCCGCCGCCGCCGCCGCCCACGCCUCCGCCUCCCGGCGCUCCUCGCUGAGCCCUCCAACGUCUUCACCGCCAUCUCCAUCACCAACUCCUCAUUGUUUUCAAUGGUACAUCCUCUCACAAACCUCUGUACCGCCC